AUGUUGGCGACGCGCGUGGCGCCGUUGUCCCUCUGGUGGGCAACAUUGAGACUUACUCCAUGCCCUCUGCCUCCUGGUCUCGGGCGAAAGCAUACAAUCUCUGGAUUAGGGUGGCGAUGGCGCGUCAGCGUCAUGUACUUCUUGAAGGCGUCGUCUUGGGUGAUCAGCAGUCUGGGAUUUGGUGUGGUGUUGGUUUGCAUCUUCAGUACGGUUCAUGCUCGACAACUGCGGUGGGCUUCUGGGUCUUGGCCGGAGACGAUGGCGAUGUAUGGGUUUCUUUCAGAGGUGAGGUCGCCAGGGCAGUCGCUCUCUCCUCGGCAACUAGUUUGCCGGCCCAAGCGUGCUCGGGGGUGA
rnacentral:rRNA from 1 species